rnacentral:rRNA from 1 species
UACGAAGGGGGCUAGCGUUGCUCGGAAUUACUGGGCGUAAAGGGCGCGUAGGCGGAUACUUAAGUUAGCGGUGAAAGCCCAGGGCUCAACCCUGGAAUAGCCUUUAAUACUGGGUAUCUUGAGUUCGGGAGAGGUGAGUGGAAUGCCGAGUGUAGAGGUGAAAUUCGUAGAUAUUCGGCGGAACACCAGUGGCGAAGGCGACUCACUGGCCCGAUACUGACGCUGAGGCGCGAAAGCGUGGGGAGCAAACAGG